AAGCAUUAGCCUUAGAAUGCUAAUGUCGCGACUGUUCGUGUGACCAACAUCUAGUAUGCCUAUUUCAGAAGUGAUACUCAAAGUGUCAAAUUUUCUUCGUUUCAAUCAUAGUAACUUUGUUUUCAAAACCAAAAUAUCAUUCUGUCACAGUUGUUGUUAUCGCAAAUGAAAUUCUCUGUUCUUCUGAAACACCAAAUCGGUGUUGCCAAACAGGUUCACAUAGAUUGAGUGGGUCAUCGAUGGCGAUAAGCUGUUUGCUGCCCGCUCUUUGCAUCUGCUGCUAGAAAAAAGAUUCUUACUGUCACUAUUUGACCACUUGUGAAGAACUAAUGCGUGUACCAAAAGAAAUGGAUUAAACUUAUUAUUUUUUGAUUGGCUUCCGAA